ensembl:lncRNA
GGGGACGUGGGGACGUGUGGGGGCACGUGGGGAUGUAUGGGGACGUAUGGCGUCAGAUGGGAACAUGGGGACGUAUGGGGGCAUGGGGAUGUAUGGGGACAUAUGGGGUCAGAUGGGGGCACGUGGGGACGUGGGAAUGUAUGGGGACAUGGGGCUGUAUGGGGACAUGGGGAUGUAUGGGGACAUGGGGACGUAUGGGGUCAGAUGGGGACAUGGGGACAUAUGGGGUCAGACGGGGAUGUAUGGGGUCAGAUGGGGACAUGGGGAUGUAUGGGGACAUAUGGGGUCAGAUGGGGACAUAUGGGGACAUAUGGGGUCAGAUGGGGAUGUAUGGGGUCAGAUGGGGACAUGGGGACGUAUGGGGGCAGGUGGGGACAUGGGGACGUAUGGGGGCACAUGGGGACAUAUGGGGGCACAUGGGGAUGUAUGGGGACGUAUGGCGUCAGAUGGGGGCAUGGGGAUGUAUGGGGACGUGGGGACGUAUGGGGGCACAUGGGGAUGUAUGGGGUCAGAUGGGGACAUGGGGACGUGGGGACAUAUGGGGUCAGAUGGGGACAUGGGGAUGUAUGGGGGCAUGGGGACGUGAGGACAUAUGGGGACAUAUGGGGUCAUGGAGACAAAUGGGGACAUAGAGGUGUAUGGGGAUGUAUGGGGACAUGGAGACAUAUAUGGACAAAUGGGAACAUGGCGAUGUAUGGCGAUGUAUGGGGUCACACAACAUCACAGUGACAGCGACACAAAGUCACAGCGACACGGUGACACAACGACACAACAUUGCAGCGACACAACAACACAACAUCACGGCGACACAACACAACAUCACGGGGACACAGCGACACGGCGACACAACAUUGCAGCGACAUAACAACACAACAUCACGGCGACACAGCGACACAACAUCA